AAACGAUCGUCCCUGUAGCUUACAACUAAAGCAUGGCACUGAAGAUGCCAAGACGUUGCCACAUGCACCCAGGGACAAAAGACUUAGUCCUAACCUUACCGUUAAUUCCUGCUAGACAUAUACAUGCAAGUAUCUGCGCCCCAGUGUAAAUGCCCUAGAGCUCUUACUCCAUAGACGAAAGGAGCGGGCAUCAGGCACGCUCAUUAGCUGCAGCCCAAGACGCCUUGCUCAGCCACACCCCCACGGGUACUCAGCAGUAAUUAGUAUUAAGCAAUAAGUGUAAACUUGACUUAGUCAUAGCAGUACCUAGGGCUGGUAGAUCUUGUGCCAGCCACCGCGGUCACACAAGAGGCCCAAAUUAACAGUAACACGGCGUAAAGAGUGGUAUCAUGCUAUCCUAACAACUAAGAUCAAAAUACAACUAAGCUGUCAUAAGCCCAAGAUGUACCUAAAGACGCCCUCAAGACGAUCUUAGCACCCCCCGACUGAUUAGACCCCACGAAAGCUAGGGCACAAACUGGGAUUAGAUACCCCACUAUGCCUAGCCCUAAAUCUUGAUAC
rnacentral:ncRNA from 1 species